rnacentral:misc_RNA from 1 species
GCAAACUUGGUCAUUUAGAGGAAGUAAAAGUCGUAACAAGGUUUCCGUAGGUGAACCUGCGGAAGGAUCAUUACCGAGUGUUGGGGUCUCUCAGGCCCCUCUCUCCCACCCCAUGUGUACCUACCUUUCUUCAGUUGCCUUGGCGGGUCCCUCCCCUCAGCGGGAGGGAUUCAGCCCGCCAGGGGGACUCCCCUUAAACUCUUUGAACUUGGGUCGUCUGAGAAAGCAAUCAAAUGAAUGAAAACUUUCAACAACGGAUCUCUUGGUUCUGGCAUCGAUGAAGAACGCAGC